CAAGCAAUUUGGCUCUUUCAUGUUUAUUAUCAGUAUAUUUAAUUAAAUUCUUGGACAUGUUUUAUAAAUGAAAACAUCUUUUUUUAGAAACCAGUCAUGUUUGUGUUAAAAUCAGGCAUUACCCAUACAUUUAACUUUUAGAUGACAGGGCAACGCUGAGCAAGCAACUGAAAAAUGGGAUGACGCUGGAUCUACAAAGACUACAAAUUGAUGUGCCUGUUGAGCCUCUGAAGACUGCUGAUGUAGGCCAGCCUGUUGAGCCUUUGAAGACUGCUGCUGUAGGCCAGCC